GUCCGCACCGUAAACGAUGAUUACUCGUUGUUGGCAAUAUGACCGUCAGCGACCAAGCGAAAGCGAUAAGUAAUCCACCUGGGGAGUACGCCGGCAACGGUGAAACUCAAAGGAAUUGACGGGGGCCCGCACAAGCGGAGGAGCAUGUGGUUUAAUUCGAUGAUACGCGAGGAACCUUACCUGGGCUUGAAAGUUAGUGACCGGUUCUGAAAGGAACUUUUCCGCAAGGACACGAAACUAGGUGCUGCAUGGCU
rnacentral:rRNA from 1 species